rnacentral:lncRNA from 1 species
UUGCAGUGUUGUAUACACUUUUAGAAGAUAUCUGAUGUGGAGAAAGAAAAACAGAAACACUCAAUCAGAACGGGUUUGAUUGACAAUUACUACUAAUGAGAACGCGCUGUAAAUCAUCCUGCAGACAGAAGACAGUGUUGAAUCCUCACAUAACCUGCAAACGGUGACACUCUUUAUAACAAGGUUACACUACUCUGUCCUCAGCGUGAUGGAAAUUCUGGCCCAUAAAUGCAUGCUUUAAA